GGCGGAUACUGUUGGACGAUUGUUGAUGUCACAUUAGCUAUUCACGCAUACGUCUCCUCUCGACGGUUUCACUGUGGUUUUCGUUUCUGAGGUCUCUGUGAAAGUCGGGACGUCCCAUAGAAGAUCAGAGUGUACUAGUGGUCAGUUCGGCCUGGUCUGUAGAAGGUCAUCAUGGCUGCAGUACAACCUAGACAACACAUAUGAUGCCAAGAUGUUGAUCUGGUAGGAUGUUUGAACCGAGCAAUCACAGCUCUCAAAGGGGCCGGCUUCCCCCCAUCCAUGCCAUCGGCAAGGUCCAGUCCAUUGACGAAGAUGAUCCACCAUACGUACCAGUACAGGUGUAUGGCUACGACGCAGAUGGUGAUCUGUCGCUCUCUUCUGGAGUUGAACCAACCUUUGAGGUCAGUGAUGCAGAAGAUGCUGUGAAGCUUCUACGGAAGACAUUUCAGCUCAUAAAUCCUGGACGCCAUGCUUGCAAGAGAAGUCCUGAACACGGAGGAACUUAUUUUGUUCACUGCCGAACAUCGUCCCGUCUUGGUAAGGAUUAUUCUCAACUGAGGAAGGUUUUGGAAAAUAGGGCAAAGUUGGAAUUUGUGCGUGACUGUGUGACCAGGAUCCGUGCAACAACUGCUUACGUAGAAGAUCUGGAGGGUUUGGUGCUUCAUGAGUAUAGAACAGCUUACGCUAUUCGUCAUGGGUGUGCUUAUGAUGCUCCGAUCAGUAAACUGUACUGUCUGAAUGCUCUAUGUGAAGACCUGCGUGUACAUGUCAACCAUUGGAAUGUACUUAAGCAACAUCUUAACACAAAUAAAUGGCUACAGCCAAUCCUGGGCCGUUUAUGUCUUGAAGUGGAAUAUGUGAAGAGAGCUCUUAUCCAGCUAUGCGAUAAAGCAAUAUGGCUGCUGCAGCGCCUCAUCAACGUGGGAUUUGAGGUGUUUGCUCACUGUGAUGUUGACAAGUUGACUCCAGAGGUGAUGUGGAAUAUUACUCGAGGUCUUGAGGAUUUCAACAAUAUUGUUAAUUCAUUUAGGACAGCAGGCACGGUGAGUGGAUCUCAGUGGAACCAUCUUUCCCUGGUCAAUCUUCCAGAAUUCCAAUCUAUUUCUUGUCUUCACUUACACCCAGCUGCCACCAACUUCCCUGGCAAACUGGGUGACUCGGUCAAAGCGAUUCCUUUUCCAAGAGUCCUCAGGAUCCUUGCCAAUGAGAGGUCCAGGUAUGCUGCCAAACUGACUCAUUACUUUUUCACAGUCAACGAAGAUUUCCAAAAGUUUUUGAAUUGUGGUCGACUACCCCUGUACAACUGGUUCGAGGAUCAUGGAAAGGACUCUGCGUCUGGCUCAUCAUCCAAUCAGCAGGAGACAUCUGACUAUCACACAGCCACAGGAAGCAAUGUCAGUUUGUCCACGUCACUGUUGCGUGUUGGGUCACUUCGGGCUCCAGACCUGUCUGUUUACAUGUCGCCUCUUGUUGAAUUCUCGCAUAAGGAACAGGAAUUUGCAGAAAAUUUUCUGCUGAUUGUAUGUAAUUCCACAACGCUACUCAGGAAAAACGAUACGGGUAAAUCCAAGAAACAAAAGGAAUUGAGAAUAAAUCAGAGUCCUAUGAUUGGGCGGUCUGUUCGGAGAAUGUCUGACACACCGGUGCUAUCUCGUGCGGACUCUCGGCGGAAGACAGUGUCGUGGGGAGACAAUGCUGACCAGUCCAUAAGGAAUCAGGUAGUAGCAAAGUACAUGGAGAUCUUGUGGCAACACUUCGGGGAGAAUCUCGAGCUGUUUCUGCUGGAGCCCACCUGGGAUAUGAGCCAGAAUCUUCUCCACUCUGAGUUUGGCAGUAUCCUGCUGUACAACGACACCCUGAUCACUCUCCUCAGACACACCAUCGAACAUGUCUGUAUGAAAGAUCUUUUCCCCCCUGCGUCGGUCCAGCCUCUUCUUGGGACAGCACUGCGACUACACAUCAUCUCAGCGUAUGCAGCAUGGGAUCAAUACCUGACGAGUGCCAUCAGCUCCCAGGGGACGGACAAGUGCUACCCCUGCCCCCUGAUGGACGGGGAGUACAGCACCAGGACCGGGAUGCUCCUGCGAGACACCUUCAAGCCCAUGUACAGCCUCAUCCAGGAGGUGUGGCGGGACCUCGGCAUCACCAGAACAGAUUCGUCAAGUUUGCUUGUGAGACAAGACGUGGACUUGUCGCUUGUGGCGGGCAUCUGUCUGCGUGUCCUGAUGACGUGUCGGGCUGCACACAGCUGGUGCAUGGUCAAGACACAUCAGUUCCUGGCUUCCUGGUCGGUCAGCGUGUUCCUCCUUAUCACACACACUGACCUCAAGAUGCUAGUGGAUGAGACCAAGCAGGUUCUGUACUACCUGGAGAACCUGACCCAGUCCGGGAUCACCCAGAACUCCACUCUCGAUCUUCUGUCAGGAGGACAGAUCUCACAGACCUGUAAUCAACUAACGGAGAUCAAUGCCCAGCUGCAGAGUCUCUGUGGAGCAUCAAUGAAGCUGUUUUCUGAGAAGUGUGGAAAGAUUGCAUCAGACUACUUCCGAGAUACAAUGCCAUUGGGUAAACAGUGGAGAAGAAAGACUGCCCUAGAAGCACCUGUGUCAGCGAAUCUGUACGUGGAGCAGGUGUUGGAGGCCAUCUUGGAACCAGUCAUUGAUGGAGUCAGUAAACUCAACCUGCCUUCUCAGCUCAGUGUCAUCUCCAUGGCAACUGUGGCCAUUUGUGAAGCAUGGACAAACCUCAUCCUGAAGGAAAAGAUCAAAUUCAGUGUUCCUGGUGCCCAACAACUUGGUAUUGACUUCACUUUCCUCAAGUCUUGGAUUGGUAGCGCCAUAGCUAACCCAGAGGUCAAACAGAGUGUCCUUGACCUGUCCAUCUUCAAGUUUCUGAAUGGUAUUGUCCUUAUUUUAAAGAAGCAGCCAAAGAAACGUACGGCAAGCCGCCUACGAGACUGUUCAGCAGAGGACCUCAGUGAGUGCUUAAGUUGCGAGUACAGCUCUGAUGUCAUCAGCCCUCAGAGCAGCACCAGCAAGGCCGAGGGAGGCACCUGUGACUGUGGUGAUGAGUCAGACAUCUGCAGUGUGCCCAACAUGGACGACUGGCUAGCUCUUAGAGUUCACGGGGGCACACGGUCAUGGAGGCUGCCAUCUUGUUUUAGUGGUCAGGGCGGAGAGAGCUGAGGUGAACAGGACUGAGCUUGUCCUGCCUUAAUGUCGGAGGCGGCCCUUGUAACAAGAGAAUCAAAGGGAAGUAACUCUUGUGAUUAGUUGGCUGAACUGUGUUUGGUUCUGUGCCUUGUGUUCACGGCACCUUGGGAUGCGAUGAAGGUUGAAAGCCUUGUGAAAAAUGCACUACAACAUAUGAGCUGAGCCUGGGAACAGUUGUCGCUAGAUAUCCUGUGAUUAUUUCACAGCAAAGCUAGACUAGAAGUGGAAGUCAUGUUAAUCAUGUUUAAUCACCGGACACUGACCAAUGAUAUCAGGAAUCAACAGAUGCCAGAAGCAUUUAAGUAAAGCACUCAGGAGAAGUCCGAGUUUGAGAAACACAAAAAAGAGAAUUGCACUGAAAAACAAUCAGAUAGUGCUCCAAAGGAAAUGGCAAUUUGCGAAACUGUGAUAUGAUUUCUUCAUCUCACAACAUGGGAAAGAAUAUAAAAGUACAAUCUGACAUUAAGUUUAUUUUAGCCAAGUUCCAUAAGUGAUGAAGUGACCAGUUCAUGACAAGAAAGAUGGCAAGCGUUGUGUGAAGGAAUGUCUAGUCAAAACUGUGAUCAUCAUUUCCACAGUAACAAAUGCCAGGACAUAUCCUUACAACAGGUGCUUGUUUGUGAAGAAAUGCAGGACAAGAGUUAUGGCCCCUGGAUGUGGCACUGCCUGUGAUAAGCUACAACUUGGACUCUGUGAUACAAUAUAAUGUUUAUUUUCAAACAGAAUCAGACCGGGAGAGGGUGUGGGGUUGAACAUUUUCACUAGAUUUAUGACAGUGUUUAUAACAAGGUAUCAAUAUGUGUGUUAUUUUGCAUUAAAUCCUAUUUACAGUUACGACAAUCAAACAUUUAACCUCGCUCAUUUCUCUGAUUUUUCUGAAAAGUUAAGACAAAGUAGGUAGCUGCGAUAUACAAGAUGGGACAGGAAUUCUUUCCUUUUGAGGGUUGAUCCAUAUAUUAUUAAAUUAAAAAUUUUGAUGUGAGAAACUUAUGCUGCCUGUGGGAUAUGUGCUGAUUUAGUUCAAUGUCUUAUAAAUGCUUAAGUUGUGAUUGUAUGUCUGCCUCUGAUAAAGCAUGUGUGUGAAAUAUAUUUUAUGAGAAUGUGACUGGUUGAAGAUAACAGAAAGUUUAAGCAUUUUAUGAUGAAUUCUUCCUGUUGUGAAACAUGUCUCCUUUACAGCACAAUACCACUCUCCACUGGCAACAAUAAACAUCAUAAAUAUUAUUUUAAUCACUGUAUCUACUUAUGCUAAUACACCAUUAUCACUGUCAGAAGGUUUAUGUUUUAGAAUUUCUGUAAUUUUUGUAAUUUAUUUAUUCUAUUUAUCAUUUAUGAAUUUUGUAUAUAUUUGAUACAUUAGAUUUCUGAGCUAUUUUAACACAGACAUGUAUUUUGCUCUUUGACUUUUCUUAUUCAUUAGGUAUGAAUAUGAAAUAAUGUGCAGUCUGGAAGAGAAGGCGAAGAUCUUGAUUGAAUUUGUGAAUAUGUUCUCUUUUCAGUCACUUUGAGAUAUACAUCAUACUUAAUUGAAUGUUGAGUGAUUAAUAUAUUUUUAUCAUUUAGUAAUUAAGUAGUGGUUGUUUUUGUUGAAAGGAGCUCAAGAUCUGUAUCCUUCAGGAUGGUGAGGUAGCCUAGUGGUUAAAGUGUUUACUCACUAUGCUGGAAAACCCAGGUUUGAUGCUUACAUGAGUUUUAUGUGUGAAGUCUCUAUUGGUGUUCUCUGCUGUGAUAUUGCUGGAAUAUUGCGGAAAGCAGUGUAAACCAUAUUCAUGCACUGCGUAAUUUCAACAUUGUUGUCUUUUAUGACGGCUUGAAGCAUAUCAUGUCAGUUAUAUUUUACGAGGCCAAUUACUCUACACUUUUAGCUAUGCACUGUUUGUGUUCAUGUUGACAUCAUGACUUGUAUCUCUGUGUUGACUUUGUUGUUCAGUGUUGUUACUUAGAAAUCAUGUUCUCUCAAUCACUGGACCUGCACAAACUGAUCCUUAACAAGAACCCCUGUGAGAGAUAGGUCAUCCUGCAAACAUCCUUCUCUGUUCCAUACAUCAAGUCUUGUCUUUAUCUAGAUUGACGUUAAACGACAAGGGGAGGUAACUCUAAUUACAUUUCAGUGGUAAGACUGAAGAUCUGUCCAUACAUCAAGUCUUUACCUGUUUUGCAACACAUGGCAAGGGAAGGUAACUCUAAUCACAUUUCAGUGGUAAGACUGAAGAUCUGUUCCAUACAUAAUGUCGGUCUUUUCCUAGAUUUCCAUUACAUGGCAAUGGGGAGGUAACUCUAAUCACAUUUCAUUGGUAAGACUGAAGAUCUGUUCCAUACAUCAAGUCUUGUCUUUAUCAAGAUUGCCAUACAUCAUCAUAUUACAUGGCAAGGGCAGGUGACUCUAAUCACAUUUCAGUGGUAAGACUGAAGAUCUUUCCAUGACAAGGCUCUUUAUUGGACUAAGGGCACAAAUAGAGUGAAAAGGAUAUGAGGAAGCAGCAGAGAAUCAUGUGUCUUUAAUUUGGUUCUGUGAGUUUAAUUUACAAAGUAAACACGGUUUCUGUUGGAUUAGGUUGUUGUGUUUUAAACCUGCCCUCAUGACCUUAUAUUGUAUUCUGAGUGACAGCAUAAUAUGUGUACCAUGUAUAAAUGUGUGAACCUUGUACCUACCUCAGAAGAACAAACAACAGUAUAUGAUACUCAUUAAAGUAGGAAACAAUGAUUCAUCAUCUCCAACACCCCAUUCUGCAGAACGAUCUUAGCUACAACUGUCAUAAGCCAAUGUUGAAGAAUGUGACAAAGAUAGUCUAAGAGCUAUGAUUGUGAUGUAAAAUGGGACACUAGAUGUUGUGCAAGAGCAAUCUUAGCCCCAUGACUAGUAGAAGGUACCGACCAUGUCAUAUUCUAGGGAGAGCCUGGAUUGUUGUUUAAAAGAAAAACCUCAUGAAUAUACCAACAAAAAAUAUUUUCCCUCAUUUUUUAGCCCCCAAAAUAAAUCAUUCAAUAGGCAUGGUUUGAAAAUAAUGUGUUGCUGGUUACCCCAAAUUGUGUCUUUCCUUCAGAGAAUGUUUGUUAACGUUUGGAACUCUGAAUGUACUGUUGCUUUGUCUCCAGCAAACAUCUUGGACUCACCUGUAUAUUAUAUAAUUGGAGCCAUGUGGAUAUUUAGGACUGGUAAUUGCUUACAGGGAUGGGGAUUGUUUGAAGUUUUUGAUGCACUCAUGUACUUUAAAAAAUUAUAUUUAUGCAUGCCUUCCCCAUGAUAUCUGACAUAUUUUGUCCUAUCCUCAUGUUAGUUAUUCUACCCAAGAGACUGUCAUACUUUUAACACCCCCAUCACCACAUAAUAAAUUACCAGUCAGCUGCACAAAUGUUAGAGUCUAUUUAAAUCAAAUUUUCAUGCCAAGAUUGCUUUGUUUAGAUUCAGGGUGUUGUUCCACAAAGUUAUCAACUGUAGUAGGUCCGUGUUAAUCCUAUUUCUGGUGUCCCCUGUUGUAAUAUUACCGGAAUAUUGCUAAAGCAGCCAUACUCACUCACUCUCUAUACUAAGAUAGGGAGUUCACAAGUAUCAUAGCGCUAAGGUCACUUUGUGGAAUUUUGCCCUGAACUUAUACAGUGAUUCUCAUCUCAUCAGAAUCAUAGUCCACUGUCUUAAUGCUAGGAUUACCACAAGUAGAUAUCACUUACUGAAUGCAUGUUUCCACACUCUUAUAAGAAUGUGUUGUUGGAAUGUCAGAAAUUGGAGCAAAUUGUUUUGGAAUGUAGACAAGUUUAGAAGUGGUGUGUGAGAGAUGAAUGUAGCUGGAUUCCUUCACAUCUUGAUAACAAUAUUUUUCAUACGUGUAAGUUGUGAAAACUUUACACUGUCUUCUAAAUUCCAGCUAGUCCACUAUCCCAAGAUGACAAAAUUUCGCUGAGGACGUGUAGGUAAGUGUCCAAUGAUUGUAGCCUUCCUUGACUUGUAGCAAUCAAGGUCUUUAAUUCAGAACUUAAUUCAGGCUUCAGUUGUGCUACGAAUUGAAACUGAAUAAAAACGAAAGAAAAUAUAACUGUAGAAAACAUUUAUGUCUUGUUUAAAGAGGGCAAACUCAGUGGACAAGAUAACUAAACGAAUUUCAUCAUCUGUUUACAGGGACAGGAAGACAAAAAAUCUGAUAUUUUGGUACAGAUUGAAUAAUGUUGAAAAGCACUAAACAUAUAUUUUUCAUCGAAGUUUCAGUCUGGUAUGUCAGCUGAUGGGAAAUAUUUUAAGGGGGGAAAUGAUGUGAAAUGAACCAGCUUCAUGUUUUCACUGUAGCAACUGUCAUUGUCAAAAUCUUUUUAAACCAGUGUUCAGGUUGUGUGGGGAUUAUCUCCCCUUACUAAAAUGGCCACAGUUUGCACGAGAUAAAGAGUGAAGUUGUGUUUUACUGAUGAAUUUUUUGUGGUCUGUCAGUUAUGAUUAGAUCCCAAAGACACAACUCCUGAAUUGUGUGUCUUUAAACAGGAAUUGUCUAGAAAGUGUUACUACUAGUCUCUGAAAGAAACUCGGAUCACCAUUAAAGUGUGCACUGCAUGAUGACAUUUUGUGGAAAUAUUAUUUUCAAUUGUUAAGUGUAAAUUAAAUGUGUUGAAUUUUCCAUCCUGAAUAUAUUUACUGAACAAGAUGUACUUAUCAACUUUUCUGUAUUUGUUUGUUAUGUGAAAUGUCAUUUUGUAGUGGUUUUGCAUAAUAUUGAUAACAUUAGCUUUUUCAAGAAUGUGGUUUUUUUUAUUCUUUGUCUUUGUCACAGAAUUUGUAUUUUUGUCUUGAGUAAUAUUUUUAAGUGGUACAUUUUAUGAUGUACAUUGAAGCUAGCAUUGUCUUGGUUCUCUGGCAUAGAGGAACAUUCUUGAAAAGAAAUUUUCAUGUGUGUGAUUCAGAAUCAAAUGAUUAGAUUUGUCAACUAUAUAUCCAGUUUUCUAAUUGUAAAAACAAUGCAUCAAUCUUGAAAAGCAUUUGCCGGAGAACCAAUGAGAAUUAUGUUUGAGUUUUGACAAAUAUUGUAUGAAGCUGCUUGAAAGGCAUGGCAUAAUUAUUUCAUUUAUGAAAUGGAGCUGAAAUCAAAUUGGGUUUUUUUAUGGAAGAGUUACAGCUGAUGUAUUUGGACAUCCUCACUCAUCUGUAUGUAUUCAGUGCUAUUAAAUCUCCAUUCUUUCAUCAUAAAUACCCUUCACCUGUUUUCGUCAAUGCAGGGAUGGCAAUUUUCCGCUGAUCCACGGAUUUCUGCCAAUUAUAUUUCAAAUUGAUCAAUUUUAACUCCCCAUUUGUUAACACAAUAUUAAGUUUUCAGCUGAAAAUAGAUUUUCCUGUUGCCAUCCCUGUCAAUGACUUUGUUUCAGAAGUUACAUCAUUAUCUAUAUAAGUUUUCCAUUUAGGCUAAGACCCGUGAAGAUCCAGAUUAGAAUUGAUCGUCACUAACCCAUGCUUGUCGUAAGAGACGACUAACAGGAA
rnacentral:misc_RNA from 1 species